UUGCUGUAAAGCUGUGCGGCGGGCGCGGCGGCGGCUUUGGGGCCGUCUGAAACCGGCGCGGCGGCCUGCGCGCACAGUUCGGCCACUUUGGCGGCGGU
rnacentral:tRNA from 1 species